GAGAGAGAGAGAGAGAGAGAGAGAGAGAGAGAGUCUAAGAGUAAGUGUUUUGAGUCGAUUCAACAAUCUUUUCUAUAUGCUUCCGAGUGAUAUUUCAUUGAAGCCUAUGCGACUUCCAGUUGGUGUUCUUCUGCUCACUACAAGUCGUGCUCAUGACACAGAAGUGGGUCUCAGUUUCUUGCAUUACAUGAACAUGGAUGAAACCAAGGAAUCCACGACAUGGAUUUGGAUCCAGCAGCCUUGACAAUCUCAGAUGUGUCAGUCCCUCCAAGUAGUCUUUCACUUCUACGGAUCUCCUUAAAGAACAACAACAUGAUCACGAGCAAGAAUGCUCUGUAACAUCUCAAAUCUCUCCCUUCUCUUUCUGGUCUUUCUGCUGAACUUGCUCAAAUGACGUCCGCAUCAUUCGCUGCAAGAGUUGGGAGCUCCCAUCUCCUCUCAUGCAGUCAGUUGAUCAUCACACCGACAUCUCCUACAGCCAGUGAUAUCAACAACAGCUUCGCUGUUCUCAACAACUCCUCCAUCCUACAACGAAGCCACAAUCGAGUUCAACGAUCAAACACGAGUUCAAAGCUCAAUUUGACGCCUCAAUCUGAAACCAUUCCGUUCCAAGUCUCUCUUCAGGUGUUCUUCGAGUGGUCUACUGCUGUUCGUUCUCUCUCAUUAUCUCUUGCAUGGUGGAGCACAGCAGCUCCCUCCGCUGGGUUGGAGGGGCUCCUAUACCACCAUACUUGUAUGCCUUGCUUUUGUUGGUGGCAGUGCAAGCAAGAAGAGAGCCCAAGUGUUUUGGCUCAGAGGGUUGCCAGCUUUCUACCCUUCCGAGGUCUGAGCAGCUUUGUGUGACAUCCAAAGGGAAUUUUCAAGGUUAGGGAAGGAAGCCCAUCCGUCAUCAAGUACUCCGAAACCCUAUUUCCCUGUCUCCAAGACAUACAUGUAAUAUAAUAUACACAACACACACACAUCUCCAUCACACGGUCUCUUCCUUCUUCUUCUUCUUGCUAAUCGAUCUGUCAUACUGCAACUCUGCUCGUUCCCUCCACAUGCUUACACCAAAGCUUACAUACAAAUGGUGCAGAGAGAAUGGAGCAGCUCGACUGGACUACUCUCCUCAACUUGAGGUCACAUGCACAUCUUAAAGCACCGAGGAUCUCCAUGGACAGGGACUUCUCCUGCAGGAUCCAAGAUCUGAGGUCAAUAAUGUUCUGAUGAUGCAGUACAAGCUCCUCAGAUGGAAUAUAUUCCACAUGAUGCUUGAGGCUGUGAUGUACUUAGGAAGAUGCACAAGCAUUCUAUGAGUGUAACUAUAUCAACAUGUAGAUUUCUCGGAAGAGGUCCAGCCGAGACCGUGUGAAGAUAAACAGAAAAACAUCAGUCAUCAAAGCAUCCUAAAGAAUUUUGGGAUAGCAUUUCGAUGCAUACCUUGCAGCCGAUAUCACCUGAUUAAUCUAAUCUUAGAUUCUUUGUCA